rnacentral:lncRNA from 1 species
CUCGCGUGGGAACGAGAAGACACUCAUGGAGGAGUCGGCCGAGCAGGCACAGCGGCGUGACGAGACUCGCGUGGGAAGAAGAAGACACUCCUGGAGGAGUCGGCAGAGCAGGCAGACCAAGGAGUUCAUCUUCUCGGAGCUGCUGUCCAACCUGUACUCGCGUCGGAACCUGCAGACACUUGUGGAGGAGUCGGCAGAGCAGGCACAGCGGUGCGACGAGAUGCUGCUUCUCAGAGCUGCUGUCCAACCUGCACUGGCGUGGGAACGAGAAGACACUCGUGGAGGCGUCGGCAGAGCAGGCAGACCAAGGAGUUCAUCUUCUCAGAGCUGCUGUCCAACCUGUACUCGCGUGGGAACGAGAAGACACUCGUGGAGGCGUCGGCAGAGCAGGCAGACCAAGGAGUUCAUCUUCUCAGAGCUGCUGUCCAACCUGCACUCGCGUGGGAACGAGAAGACACUCGUGGAGGCGUCGGCAGAGCAGGCAGACCAAGGAGUUCAUCUUCUCAGAGCUGCUGUCCAAACUGCACUUGCGUGGGAACGAGAAGACACUCAUGGAGGAGUCGGCAGAGCAGGCACAGCGGUGUGACGAGACUCGCGUGGGAAGAAGAAGACACUCCUGGAGGAGUCGGCAGAGCAGGCAGACGAAGGAGUUCAUCUUCUCGGAGCUGCUGUCCAACCUGUACUCGCGUCGGAACCUGCAGACACUUGUGGAGGGGUCGGCAGAGCAGGCACAGCGGUGCGACGAGAUGCUGCUUCUCAGAGCUGCUGUCCAACCUGCACUCGCGUGGGAACGAGAAGACACUCGUGGAGGAGUCGGCAGAGCAGGCACAGCGGCGUGACGAGACUCGCGUGGGAAGAAGAAGACACUCCUGGAGGAGUCGGCAGAGUAGGCAGAACAAGGAGUUCAUCUUCUCGGAGCUGCUGUCCAACCUGUACUCGCGUGGGAACGAGAAGACACUCCUGGAGGAGUCGGCAGAGCAGGCAGACCAAGGAGUUCAUCUUCUCAGAGCUGCUGUCCAACCUGCACUCGCGUAGGGACAAGAAGACACUCCUGGAGGAGUCGGCGGAGCAGGCAUAGCGGCGCGACGAGAUGCUGUGCAUGCACCACGUGCUGAAAGAGGCUCUCAGCAUCAUCGGCGACAUCAACAUGAACACCAUCAGCACAGCUACGGGGGCCCGUGGACGACUCCUAGUUGCAGCCAAGCCCAGCGAAAGAAUGGCAUACGGGAGU